UACAGAGUUGUGACGCCACGCCAGGGUGCAUGCCGGAGAUGAUGCCUCACGCUCUCUGCUCUUUGGAGUGCAGGAUAAGCUGAAAUUGAAUCCGGCUUGUUCCCUGUAGACGCUCAAAGCAGAUGAAUUGGCCCCUUGCCAGCUGGCAAUGAGUCAUCGGAAACGUGCAGACAGUCAUGUAGCCCAAGUGACGAGGGGGGGUGCAUAGAGGAGGUGGCCACGCUGACUUUACAGCCCAUUCAUAAAGAGCUGGAAGAUGGGUAUCUGCUGCCACCUUGUGACGUCCAAUCAGGCACCUGCUAUGUGCCACUUUCCUCUCCAUAAAUGUCAGAUGGUUCAUCUGCCUUGGCAUCCUACAGUCCCCAGAGUGGAAUUUUACUGAGAGCAAUAAAAUUAUAGAGAUCUCACAAA